UACGGAGGGUGCAAGCGUUAUCCGGAUUUACUGGGUUUAAAGGGUGCGUAGGUGGGCAGGAAAGUCAGUGGUGAAAUCUCCGGGCUUAACCCGGAAACUGCCAUUGAUACUAUUUGUCUUGAAUACUUUGGAGGUAAGCGGAAUAUGUCAUGUAGCGGUGAAAUGCUUAGAAAUGACAUAGAACACCUAUUGCGAAGGCAGCUUACUACGCCUAUAUUGACGCUGAGGCGCGAAAAGCCAGGGGAGCAAACGGG
rnacentral:rRNA from 1 species